UUGUUCAAAGUCGAUUUUUGCCAUCCCUGGCGGUAACGCAGUGCCAGGGCAAGGAUGAUCGUCGGGUUAUACUGUAGUACUGGCGAUGAUGGUUGUGGUGGUGGUUAUAAACAGAAUACACCUUGAUAGCUCAGGUCCACAUUAGAUUUUCCGGGCAUCUUCUUGCAUUGUAGCAACAUUCUUAUCAUCAUAUGCGAAGAUCAACGCGAUACUGACACAAGUUCAAAAACAAGAGACAAGAUGCACUUCAAAAGUUUGAUUGUUUUGAUGACACUUUGCUCGUUGGAUCUUGCCACCUCCGCACCUGUUCCGGAGAGUUUUUUCGAAAUUCUUGAUGGCAUCAAGAAUGGUUUCCGAACUGCUUUAGAAGCCGUUUGCUGGAGUGAUAAUGGAUGCUCGAUUAUCAGAUAUUGCGACAAAGAAAUAGAGAUCCACGGACAAAAUAUGGAAAGCCUUUUUGGAGCCUGUAGACUUACAUGGUGGUUCAUCUUGGGUGUGAUCAUCUUAAUUGUAUUGUUCCUGUGUACAUGCUGCUCAUGUUUGUGCUUGCCGUGUUGUUGCCUUUAUGAUUACUUCUCAUUCAAACGUUGGUGUUAGAAAUCACCAACGGAUUCGAAAACAAUCAUUCAUUUGGCCAUCUCAAAAUCAUUUCUAAUUCUUUAUGGCAAUGUCUACAAAUGACAGAAUCAUAAUGCGGAAUCCGAUGGUUUAUGGAACAGGAUUGAAAACUGUCCAACCGUGAUGAAACUUGCAAAACAUAUUUCAAUGAAAUACAAUAGCAGAUCAAAACCCUAA